UUGGGCUGUUCGCCCAUUAAAGCGGUACGCGAGCUGGGUUCAGAACGUCGUGAGACAGUUUGGUCCCUAUCUGUUGUGGGCGUAGGAAAAUUGAAGAGAGCUGUUCCUAGUACGAGAGGACCGGAAUGGACGCACCCCUGGUGCUCCUGUUGUCACGCCAGUGGCAUAGCAGGGUAGCUAUGUGCGGACAGGAUAAUCGCUGAAGGCAUCUAAGCGAGAAGCCCCCUUUAAGAUGAAUUUUCCCAUUUGUAAGAUGUAAGAUCCC
rnacentral:rRNA from 1 species